UUCGCCGACCUGAACCUUUCUAUUUCUAUCCUUCCUCUUUCCACUCCAUGAAAGCUUAUUUCAAGGUUUUCCAGUCAUAAUCUGUCAUAUCAAAUUUAUUCCUCAUUCUUUUCAUUCUUUUUUAUUCCCUUUUCUCUGCAACAACUGUAUUUUUUGUCCAAAAAUUUUAAACUCUCACAUGGGACAAAGAUGAGACCCCAAUAGUUCAAGAGGUAGGAUAGUUCAAGAGGAAGGAGAACUGCAAAUUAUGAUUCAUCCAAUUUGUCUCUCCACUUGCACAAACUUGUUUUAGAGACAACAUUUAUCGUAACUUUAUUCCAGAGAAAAAAAUGAAGUUUUUUCCUACUGAAGGGCAAAGAGCGAGAAAGUUUUUGGGGCUUAUUUACUAUCACAUUUAGACUAAAUUCGCGCAACAACCUGAUGAAUUCAUUCCUACUUUUGUUCAAGAAUUUUGCUCAAACAUUGACAACGCUGAUAAUUGCACAUGGGUACGAGAUCCAGGUAUUGGAGGCAGCAUAUCUAGAGAGUGAGCGCUUAUAUUGGUCGCGAAGAUUCAAGGUAUAGAUGUAUGUUGUCGCAAUCCCUUGGAGUCUCAUCCUUUAUGUUGAUACUGUUAAUUUUACAUUCAAAUAGUAUUGUACUUUGAAUAUUUCUUAUGUGUUCAGUUAGAGCUCAUGACUCUGUACUGUCUAGUUCUGGAAAGUUGUGUGUAGUCGUUUUUGGCUUAUAUUAACUCUAUUUUCGCUUUUAUAUUA